rnacentral:misc_RNA from 1 species
ACCGACGAGGGCGACUAUCAGGUCAAGCUGCGUAACCUGAUUCGUUUCCUCGAAGGUGGCGACAAGGGUAAGGUCACGCUGCGUUUUCGUGGUCGCGAGAUGGCGCAUCAGGACAUCGGCCGCAAGCUGAUGGAGCGCGUCGCCGCGGAUCUCGAUGAACUCGCGGCGGUGGAGUCCUUUCCGAAGAUGGAAGGGCGCCAGAUGGUGAUGAUUCUUGCCCCCAAGAAGAAGUGAUCCGACGGCAAGUUAACGGAGGGUCGCAACGACGCUGUCGUUGUGACUCUCGGCCACGGAUUUUCUCAAAAACCCGAGCGGAGUAUUUCCCUCAUGCCGA